rnacentral:rRNA from 1 species
AUUGAACGCUGGCGGCAGGCCUAACACAUGCAAGUCGAGCGGUAGAGAGAAGCUUGCUUCUCUUGAGAGCGGCGGACGGGUGAGUAAUGCCUAGGAAUCUGCCUGGUAGUGGGGGAUAACGUUCGGAAACGGACGCUAAUACCGCAUACGUCCUACGGGAGAAAGCAGGGGACCUUUGGGCCUUGCGCUAUCAGAUGAGCCUAGGUCGGAUUAGCCAGUUGGUGAGGUAGUGGUUCACCAAGGCGACGAUCCGUAACUGGUCUGAGAGGAUGAUCAGUCACACUGGAACUGAUACACGGUCCAGACUCCUACGGGAGGCAGCAGUGGGGAAUAUUGGACAAUGGGCGAAAGCCUGAUCCAGCCAUGCCGCGUGUGUGAAGAAGGUCUUCGGAUUGUAAAGCACUUUAAGUUGGGAGGAAGGGUUGUAGAUUAAUACUCUGCAAUUUUGACGUUACCGACAGAAUAAGCACCGGCUAACUCUGUGCCAGCAGCCGCCGUAA